ACGGCGAGGCUUAACAACAUGCAAGUCGAGGGGCAGCACGGGUAGCAAUACCUGGUGGCGACCGGCGCAAGGGUGCGUAACGCGUGAGCAACAUGCCCUAUACAGGGGGAUAAUCCAGGGAAACUUGGUCUAAUAUCCCAUAGUAUUUAGAGGAGGCAUCUUCUAUAAAUUAAAGCUUCGGUGGUAUAGGAUUGGCUCGCGUGACAUUAGCUAGAUGGUGAGGGUAACGGCUCACCAUGGCAAUGAUGUCUAGGGGCUCUGAGAGGAGGGCCCCCCACACUGGGACUGAGACACGGCCCAGACUCCUACGGGAGGCAGCAGUGAGGAAUAUUGGACAAUGGAUGGAAAUCUGAUCCAGCCAUGCCGCGUGCAGGAAGACAGCCCUAUGGGUUGUAAACUGCUUUUAUAUGGGAGCAAUAAGGUCUACGUGUAGACUGAUGAGAGUACCAUAUGAAUAAGCAUCGGCUAACUCCGUG
rnacentral:rRNA from 1 species